GGUAGGCAUAAUUCGCCCCUGACUUUCAAUCUCAGUAUUAAAGCUACACAUAGGACUGCUGUAGUACACAUGCUGUGUACAUUCCUACAACACUGUUUUCUUUACAUGUUAUAAAGGCAAAAGUAAAUCUGCCUACAACUCAGUCGCAAGCCUGUGUUUUGCUUAGUUUUUUGUGUGUUUUACUACAUAAAAUGUGGAGGCGCAAUGGCCCAGUGGUUAGGGCAGCGGAC